GGCUUAGUGAUCCGGUGGUUCCGCAUGGAAGGGCCAUCGCUCAACGGAUAAAAGCUAACCUGGGGAUAACAUGCUUAUCUCCCCAAAGAGUCCACAUCGACGGGGAGGUUUGGCACCUCGAUGUCGGCUCGUCGCAUCCUGGGGCUGUAGUCGCUCCCAAGGGUAGGGCUGUUCGCCCAUUAAAGCGGCACGCGAGGUGGGUGCAGAACGUCGUGAGACAGUUCGGUCC
rnacentral:rRNA from 1 species